GACGAACGCUGGCGGCGUGCUUAACACAUGCAAGUCGAACGGAAAGGCCCUGCCUUUGUGGGGUGCUCGAGUGGCGAACGGGUGAGUAACACGUGAGUAACCUGCCCUUGACUUUGGGAUAACUUCAGGAAACUGGGGCUAAUACCGGAUAGGAGCUCCUGCUGCAUGGUGGGGGCUGGAAAGUUUCGGCGGUUGGGGAUGGACUCGCGGCUUAUCAGCUUGUUGGUGGGGUAGUGGCUUACCAAGGCUUUGACGGGUAGCCGGCCUGAGAGGGUGACCGGCCACAUUGGGACUGAGAUACGGCCCAGACUCCUACGGGAGGCAGCAGUGGGGAAUAUUGCACAAUGGGCGGAAGCCUGAUGCAGCAACGCCGCGUGCGGGAUGACGGCCUUCGGGUUGUAAACCGCUUUCGCCUGUGACGAAGCGUGAGUGACGGUAAUGGGUAAAGAAGCACCGGCUAACUACGUG
rnacentral:rRNA from 1 species